rnacentral:rRNA from 1 species
AUGAGCUUUCUCGCCGGGCGCCUCGCCGCCCAGGAGGGCGCCUACUUCCUGCAGGAGUCCAAGCUCGCCGCCGGCCGCCUCGCGGCGAAGCUCCCCGCGUCCGCGCGUGGGCCCAGGCCGGCGUCCCCGCCUCCGUCGCCCGACGUGCUCCCGGAGAUCCUCCGCCACUCCGUGCCCAUCAGGCCUACGCCGCCUCCGGCUGACUCCACCCUCUACGGCUCCACUCGCUGGGUCCUCCCACAGGGCGGCGCCGAGACAGCCGGCGUGUCGCCCGACGUGCUCAACCCGCUCCGCUCGUACGUCGCUCUGCCGCAGGCCACCUUCGGCCCCAAAAGAUGGGAACUUCCAACUGAGCAGCCUUACUACUCGGCGGCAACCGCCAAUGAGCGGCGACGUGAUAUGCAUCCUCCUCCCAUGGACCCUGAGAAGUUGAAGGCUGUAAUUGAUGGAUACUCACAGGUUGGAAAGGCAUUUCUUGCUGGGACUGUUUUGGUGUUUGGAGGAGCAACAGCUGUGCUGCUGUACACUGCCAAUAAGCUACAGUUGCAUUCAGUAGACGACGUCAAAGCUAAAGGAAAAGACGCAGUGCAACCACAUGCCGAUAUGAUCAAAGAACAGAUAGCUCCACUGAGGAAAUGGGCCGAGGACACGUCCCGGAAAUGGCAUUACGAAGCCGACAGAGAGUCCGGGGAGAAGUCUGUCCUUGUUAGAGAGCUGUCAAGAGCACUCGGUGCUAAGACACGCUCGAAUUGA